rnacentral:ncRNA from 1 species
GUCCGGUGAGAAUCCGGCGCUGUCCCGCAACUGUGACGUCCGUCCCCGUAGGGGAGGGACGCGAGCCAGG